ACUCCUACAGGAGCUCACAGGAAGUCCACACAGCACCAGACAAGCUCUGGGACAGAAGCAACGAAAUGAAGCGUAGUGUGGAGUUAGGGCGACCAUGGUACUCUCUGACAGCUAGCCUACUGCAGAGAAGGCUGCUGUAGUGGCUAUUCCUGGUUGUCAACUUGACAAUAUUUGGAAUGAACUACAAUCCGGAAUUGGAAGGCUCACCAGUGACCCUUAUCUGGAGGCUUGGAGAUCCUUAUCUGGAUCUUGGUUUGAAGAUCUUGAGACAUAGUGGCUAUGGAUUCCAGAAGAUAGAAUCUCCGAGUUUAAGGAACACACCUUUAAUCUGGGCUAUGCCUUUCAUCUGGGAUUAAAGGUGUGGUGGAACACACCUUUAAUCUGGGCUAUGCCUUUCAUCUUGGAUUAAAGGUGUGGUGGAACACACCUUUAAUCUGGGCUAUGCCUUUCAUCUGGGAUUAAAGGUGUGGUGGAACACACCUUUAAUCUGGGCUACACCUUCUGCUGGAGACAAUAUAAGGACAUUGGAAGAAGGGAGUCUAGCUCUUGCUCCUUAGCCUGCUUGCUGCGUGAGAGUAACUGCUAGAUCCUUGGAGAUCCUGACUCCCCGCGGGACUUCCAAGGCAGCAUAACUUCGGGUCCAGACUGGGCUGUCAGGCGUUUCCAGGAAGGAUCCAGGAACCCCUUAACUAAUCCAGGCAGUGACCUGGGAGAACUCGGGAGAACCCGUGGCAGCCCUCAGCAUCCAGCUGGUGAACCUGAUUCCUGAUUUCCGGGUAGGCCUUCAGAUGUGUUUUGCUGAAUAUCACUUUCAGAAGAUCCCGGCUAAACUUCUUCUGUACAUUGCUGAGGAUGUCGUACACGACUCUCUCCAGUGGGACCAGGGCUUCAGAGUUGCCUGAAGUUCCAGGACCAACUUGAAGAUAGAGAAGCAAACAGGAUUCCCCGAGUUCUGUCCUCACAUGACCCAACUGCCUCUGGCUCUGGGAUUUGGAGUAAGUAGGCUUUGGAAGGCAGCCCAGCUUAGGUGUGUCUACUUGCAUCCUAGUAUCUGUUGUUACAUUACACAAGUGACCCUGGGAUGCUCUGCACUUCGGAGCAUUCCUGCUUGCUAUUCGUCGCUGUCACCAUGUGCCUCAGCCUCAGUUACUGCAGAGGUGAAUGUAAAUGGUUCCUGUGAUGUCUAUCCCUCCAGUUAUCUUCUGACUUACAAAGGUGAUGUCCCUUCAUCCCUGGAGGUGCUUCAGCCUGUUGGCUGCACCCAGAAGUACAGCAUGAUACAGCACAGGGCAGGCUUGCUGUCAGGACUGAGUUCAUUCUCCACACUCACCUGAAACUUCUGCUCCGAGAUGAAGUCUCGGUCUCGAAGGCUCAUGAGGAAAGGAAACGGCUUGGUGAUGGCACUUGCGAUCUCCACCUUGUUUUCUUUGAAGUGCUUGAACAUGAGCUGAUAGUCAUCUGACUCCUCUUCAUUCUGGUCCUCUGGGAUUGUCCUAGGGGACAGAUUUCCAUGCAGAAGUAGAUACUGGUUUACAAGAUGCUACCAAUGGCUGGAUAAUUACUGACAUGAAGACUGGUCUGCUAAUAUAAAAUUAAAAUUUUAAACAUCUCAUUUAGUGAUCAAGUUCUGGUGCUUUGAGUUUGAUUUGCUCGGGAUAGGGUUAUCAUCUGUAAGUCUGGCUUGCCUAAAAGUUACUAUGUAGACAAGGCUAUCCUCACACAUAAAUUUCACCUGCCUCUGCUGCCUGAGUGCUCAGAUUUAAAUUAUGUUCCAUCAUGUCCAGUACUGUGAUUAGUUUUAAUUGUCAACCUGACACAAUCUAUAAUCAUCUUGGAUUGUAUGAGUCUUAAUAAAGGAUUGUCUAGAUUAGGGUAA
rnacentral:lncRNA from 1 species